rnacentral:rRNA from 1 species
AGAGUUUGAUCAUGGCUCAGGACGAACGCUGGCGGCGCGCUUUAUACAUGCAAGUCGAACGAGAAGCCAGAGCUUGCUCUGGUGGAAAGUGGCGAACGGGUGAGUAACACGUGAGAAACCUGCCCCAAAGACUGGGAUAAGCCGAGGAAACUUGGUCUAAUACCGGAUACCUCUUUUAUCACAUGUUAAAAAGAAGAAAUGCUCCGGCGCUUUGGGAUGGUCUCGCGACCUAUCAGCUUGUUAGUGAGGUAAAAGCUCACCAAGGCAUCGACGGGUAGCUGGUCUGAGAGGAUGUCCAGCCACAUUGGGACUGAGAUACGGCCCAAACUCCUACGGGAGGCAGCAGUAGGGAAUCUUGCACAAUGAGGGAAACCUUGAUGCAGCGACGCCGCGUGCGGGACGAAGGCCCUAGGGUUGUAAACCGCUUUCAGUAGGGACGAAAGUGACGGUACCUACAGAAGAAGCCCCGGCCAACUAUGUG